rnacentral:snRNA from 2 species
AUACUUACCUGGACGGGGUCGACGGCCGAUCAAGAAGGGCCGUGGCCUAGAUCAAUGGCUCACAUUGCACUUGGUGAGCGCGUUGGUUUACCAUCUCCCCAAGUGGGAGAGUGGACGUCAUAAUUUGUGAUAGAGGGGGUACGCGUUCGCGCGGCCCCUGU